GACUCUGAGACGUGGAUCACUUGGCUUGUGUGUCGAUGAAGAACACAGCUAGUUGUGAGAACUAAUGCAAAUUACAGGACACAUUGAUCAUCAACACUUCAAAUGCACUUUGUGGCCCCGGGUUACUCCCGGGGCUACGCCUGUCUGAGGGUCA